UAAAUAAGUAUCCUUGCUUUUUUGGGACUAUUGUAACCUACUCACACUAUACAUGUUAUAUGCACCACUGACGCCAUCACCUUCAUUUAUGUGCUGAACUCGUAGUAGCACCACAGGUUUUGAGAGCAAUGGAAUAUUCUUUUUCACUUGUUGUUUUAAUUUCUUGUUAUCUUUCUAUUACUAACAUUUGUAUAUAUCCAUUCUACAUUCUUUUUAUCAUAAAGACAUUGUAAGUAAAUAUCCAUCUCGUCAAAUGAUGGAAAGUUAGCUAUCUUUGUUGUCCGUUGCUGCCUUCAGUGUGGACCCAGAAUUGUUUGAACUAGAUAUUUAGGGAGAAAUUCAUGCAUUUGAUAUACUAAGAUAAUGGUUUAGAUGAUUGACUUGACUCGACUUAACCCAGCACGACUCUGUACUUGACUUGUCUGUACAUGACUUGAUUUGACCUUACUUGACUUGACUUGGUUUGAUUCUAUUUGACUCGACUCGACCUGACUAAUCUGAACAUGAAAUUCGACAACCCUUAUCUGGGCUUUACUUGGCUUGACUCCACUCAUUUCAGCACGACUUGACUUGACUUGACUUUAAUUGAUCUGACUCAAGUUGACAUGAAUCAAUUUGACUUGGUUUCCAUUGGUUUGAUUUUUUCAACUUUAUUCUACAAAGCUUUUACCGAGGGAAAGGUAAUAAGUUCAAAUUGGACUGAAUGUUUACUUAAAUAAAUGCAAACUAAUUUGAUUUGAACGGGGGCACAAAAGCUGACUCGGUAUCUCUUGCAGUUACCAGCUUAACAUGGCUCGAUCUUGAAUUGACUUGACUUACUUUGAUGUUGAUCUAUGUUAUUUUUAACUGACUGGACCUUUUGAGUAAGGAAUUCAAUAUUGAAAAUAUUCCUUACUGUUUUAGGCAUGUCAGUGCUUCUGAUCGGACUGGUAAGCGAUAUAGGAACGUGAAUCUGGACAUAUUCAGCAUAGGAGACGACGAAGGUAAUGUCUCAACCAAUGCCAGCAACAUCAAUGUAGCCUGGCUCAACCUUGGGCAAGGCUAGCUUGUAGUCGGCUAGUCAAGUCAAAUCCUUCUUUGUUUUAGCCGUAUUGACUUGUGUUUGUUUUUAUCUUGCUUCUGAAGGUAAUUUUUAGGGCACUGAGAAGCUGUGCUUAUCAAUCAGUGGGUAGUAAUUUGGAAUUAGAAUCUGGUUGCAAAGACCUUCAAGUUUGUUAACAACAUUAGGUUGUCAAUUGAACAAGUAUUUUCUUGUUUCUAGAUGAGCCGAUCUCAAGCGAGGAUGAAGGUCGAAAAGAGGCUGUUAAUGUUACCACUUGGACGAAGAGAAAUGACGUAGUAGCCACGUUUCCAUGUAGUGAAAUCACGAAUCUGCGGCACAUGUACUCGAGCUACAUCCUACUUACGUUGACCAACUUGUUCAUUUUACGCGAGAUCAUCGACAGACCUGGUUGGGCACACAUAUUGAGUCGCCCUCAUCUGACAUCGAUCGUUAAAAUCACAUCAAAGAGGAAACACCCACAGUUGAUAACAUUCAAAUAUGGAACUAGUAACGGAGAAUCAUACCAGAUUACUGCCACACAGAGAUUCUUAAUUCCUGAUGCAAAAAACGCAACUAAAAAAAUCAAAGAAAGGAUUGUUAAGAUUAUCGGUGACUAGUUUUUCCAAAUGUUGUUACAUUCGCCUUGGUUUGGCGAUGUCACGAGCACUUGAAGCGUGUUGAGAGCAAACCAAGAGAGGGCCUCAAAUACAAGAAAGUAAAUCGCUUUCUUUGCCCUCUGAAAAUUCUGUGGCAUGCCUACUGACCCCCUUUCCGGACCCUGUAUUUUUCUUCGCAUAUUAAGCCUGAUUCUGUACUAAGCAGUUAAACCCGAUUUUUGGCUUGAUUCAAUCUCUAAAUUCGAUCCAAGCUCUAAACGACAGUUGCAACAGAAGGGCGUUAGGCAUGGGAUCAGUGGGUUUAGAUUAGAACCUAUUUCCGUUAUUUAUCGCCCUUUGGAUCAAUGUUGGUGUCUGCUGGAUUUCAAUGUGUCAAUCUUGACGUGCGUGAUCGUAGGCAAAGUAGGAUGCAAGGACUCAGAAAGAGGUUUAAGUUGUACAGUACAUUAUCAGGCUGUGUUUCCAUUUUCCCUUUCCCAAACAAUAUACUCUCUGAAGUCCCUAAAAAGAUGUUUUCCCGCUCGGCCCACUUACAGGGGCAAUUUCCUUGCGUUUUCAAAUUUUCAUUGUAGCUCGUUCUAAACCUUUAGGGUUGAAGCCUUUACAUUAAAGGCCAAUAGUGGAAACGCGAAUAGCUUUAGAAGUGAUUAGUUAUGAGAAGCUGCUUUGUGUCUAAAAAACUAAAGAAAACAUCUUGUAUCAGUAAAGUAACCUGCACAAAGUAUAAGCCAUUAUGCCUCCUUUUCACCUUUUGUUUUUGAAAGAAGACUAGAAUUAGCGCUUAGUUACUUGCGCUAACGAUUGGUGUCAACUAAAAGGACCUGCUAAUUUUUUUCGAUCUUGAAUCCAAAUUGUAUUUUGUCCUUAAAAUUCAAAGAUAAAUCUGAAUUGAUUUAUCUAUUAGCGGUAAAAACAUUAAAAAGACCCUUAUUUUCCCGUCUCCUACGCUCAAAAGCAUGUUCUUCGUUAUUUAUAUUCAGGAUUUGUAGAAGUGCUGCUUGAGUUCUCUUGAUGUUCCCUUGAGUUGUUGGAAUACCUUAUAUAGGAAAUAUACAAUAGUUGAUCUGGGUAUCCGGUUCAAUUGUAAAUUUUUCUUAAAAGUGCAGUUUUAAAAAAGGCCAGUUCAAAGUCAAUAAUUUUUUAGAUUUACCAAAGAGCGAUACGAGGCUUGAUCAUUGCAUUUCUUGCUUAGCUAACCUAUACACUGGCAGUGGUCGAAAUAAAGAGCAAAAUCACAUAUUGUAUACAUAUUGAAGGUUUGAUGUUUUUCGUACCAAUGUAUCUAUUUUGUACAACAUAAAUUUAUUUAAGAUAGAGUUUAGUGUUUGUCCGGUCAGGAGGGCUUCCUCGUGCGUUCAUAUUUUACUUGUUCUGUUUUUCAUAUUGAAGACACUAGGGGCAUGAAGACACUAGGGGCAUGAAGACGCUAGGUGCAAAUCCCCCAAGGCAAUAUCGUACACCUUUGGCGAGAAUCUUAUUGUUUUAGCUGAAAAUCCCUGAUAUCUCGUACGCUGUUUGCAAAAGUGAAUUGCCCCUCGGUUAGAUUCAAGUGGGGGGGGGGAGGGGGUGCUGCAAAAACAUUUAUCAGCUCAUAGGACAUUGGCAAGGGUUUUUAAAUGUUCAUGAAGCCAACAUGAACAUUUUAAAAAGAAACUACAAUGACAGACUGUGAAGAAGUGAAUAUUUUAGCAUUUACUUGGCACUGAACGGAUCCAAAGUGCAUCUAGUAUUCGCUUAAAAAUGCUACACCACGUGGGCCGAUUAAUGGCUAGGCUCCAUUCUGGCCGGAGUUUGAAGAGGACAGCUACUUUGAUCAAGUAGUACACUUCAAGAUUCGUUAAAUUUGAGGCCACCCAUUCUUAACCAUUAGUACAAAGUAGAACCCGUCGUCCAAUAUCGUCCCAAAUCUUCCCUUUUUGAGGAAAACCUAUAAAGACCAAUUGGGGAUACCCUCAGCUUCGUACUGACUAUAGAUGGGCUUUUAGAGAAGAAAAUAGAAAAUUGAGGACCGGUUUGUUAAAAAUCGAUAAAUAAAUCAAACCAGGUAGUUUAUAAAUUAUCAACGUUGGCAAUUAAUUGUAUUAAUUAAGUUACAAUAACAAGCUCUUGCAUUUGUGGCAGUGAUUAUCUCACCAAAAUCUGUUUACCCCUACUGGCACUCUGCCGUCGGUUGGAAUCGAAAUUGUCUUACAUACUUUGAAGUUUAGCUUAGAGGUCAAGUCAAAGAGGUGAAAGCAUUCAACGUCUAUUGUAGGGAUGACGUUGAAUGUCUAAAAAAUGACUGACUUUUUGACGAUUGUAUACCCUUAUUUUGGGGUUAGAAAGCAAGUAGCUAGCAGUUAAACGUCCUAAAAUUUGACUUAAGCAAUGUAAGGACUUACGCAGGUAUAAGUUAAGCAAAAAUAUUGUUAUCUUCAAGCUAAAUUGUUUAACUAUUUGUUGAUGAAAAGAGGUUUUUCGCCAAAUAGUUUUAUGAUAAAAUGCUACACACUGUCCAUUUUUCGCCAACGUGACUGUAUGUUAACACAAUCAUUUGGUACUUUGGAUAGAAUGAGCACUGAAUAUAAAUCUAAUAAGAAUUUGUUAGGCCAUGGAAGUAAAAGACAUUUCAACAGAAUCAUAUUUCUAGAUUCAAGGCUACUUUUCAGAAGUAAGGGUUAAACCAGACUUUUCUGGCUUAAUGGCUAAGCAAAAUAGGUUGGAUUUUUUGCUUUAAUCGUUUGCACUAAACCAUUUCUUAUAAACCACGUUGAAAUUAAAUUGCGAGGAAGCAAGACGAAAAUUCCUUUUUGAGAUCUUUAGUUUCUUAAUUUUCAAGCCAUGAAUUACCCGAUAAAUAAGAAACGUUGAAUCAUUUGACAAACAGCUGAAAUGGCUUUUAGAGGUCAUCUGAUAAAGAGGGACGUCACGAAAUGAAUAGCACCAUCAAAUAUUCAAUGCAUUUUUUGUUAUCAAUGUAGUUGAUCAGCAUGUGACAUGUGACAAAGAUCAUAAACACACUCAAACACAUCAAAUGCACAUGCAUCCCUUCAUAGAUUCAAAAUCUUAAAACAAAAAGUAAAUUUAAAAUCUUUCAAGCCUUUGUGUUACAAAUAGUUGAAAUUAAAAUACCCAAUUAAGAUACAUUUCAGCAUUGUCGUCUAUCUUGAUUAAAUUUCACAACACCCUUUCACGCCCACUACUGUAAGAGCGCAAAAUUAUUGUUAGAGUGGGCAAUUCGGCUGGUUUUUGCAAUACAUUUUAGACAUAUUUCCUUCGAAAAAAAUGGAUGGCAUCACAUGAUCACGCCUUUCUACACCCACCACAUAAUUGGAAAAUUAAAUGAACCUACCAAGAGUCAUCGGCCGUAACCGAAGGAGCCGAGUGGCAAUUCACUCUUGCAAAUAGCGUAGGAGAUUUUGCCUGAAAAAAGGAUUUCUUUACGAGAUUUUCUUAGAGUGAUUUGCCCCUCGGGAGGAGCUGUACGAGAUAGUGUGCGCUAGCGCAUGCGAACCAGCCUUUUGAGCUAAGGAAAUGAAGCAGUGACAAACCACUGAUAUAUAAAGGAAAAAAUAGGAGGAGCUGGGAGGGGAGAAAAACCAUAUAUAAUCGGGAGGGCGUACAGCUCCUCCGGUCACGGCCGAUGACUCAUAGAAUUACAAUCAAACUUUACCUACAGGUAGGUUCGUUUUAUUUUCUAAUUCUAUUUCGUCGUCGUCCCAGCUCCCUACAGAGCUGCACGAGGUUUUAGAGCUGUCAUUGAUACAUAAUAGCAUAAUAGAGAAAUGAGGCAAAGGAAGAUGCCAACUACCAAAGAAAUCUCUGCUAGCAGAGACUCGUUCAACAUAUUUGAGCAGGAGAAGCCCUACAUAAUGAUUAACGUUUAAACGAGCGGCUGAACAUAAUAUAACAUUAAACAUGGGUAAGCAGGGCUAGAAAAUACUUAACAUAUAUAGAAAUGUGUAAAUAUAAUUGUAAAUGUGUAUAUGUGUAACUACGUCUAUAGAAAAUCUUAAGAUAACAGUAAUAGUGUAAACAGGACAAUCUAACAUAACCUAACAUAACAGUAAACGUGUAGAUAGAGCUGAUAAAAAACCUAAUAUAUCGAUUAAUGUGCGAAUGAAUUAAAUGAGUGAGGUAGCAUUGGCUGAAUUUGGUUGCCUUUCUAGAUUUACUAGCACAUAACACCGGUAUCCUCCGAAGAAGAAUCGUCAAUCCUCGUCGAACGAUGUGAGGGAGAGGACUAGGACCAUCCUGGGCACAGAAUACUUUUUCUCUUCUGUGUCCUGGGAAUGAAGAUUGCGUUUGAUCAACACAGCUUGGAGUUUGGUUUGAGAGACAUAUUGCCUUGAAUCAAAGGUGCUCGUGUACAAAGUGCUCAACAUAAUCGCUUAUCAGACAAGGAAGUACUGCUGCAGCCGAGAAAUAAACGAGACGUAGGCCACGCUCACAUCUGAUGGUUUAACAAACAGGCAUGAAUAACGGUGUAACAGAAUAAAACCCCUUCAAGGAUCUUGUUCACAAAGAAGUUCUCCUCCUUGCCGGCUCAUAUUUCAAGGACAAGACUCAAAGGCAGUACGAACUGCUCUCACUUGUGCAAUAAAAACAACACUUG